GACGAACGCUGGCGGCGUGCUUAACACAUGCAAGUCGAACGGAAAGGCCCUGCUUUUGUGGGGUGCUCGAGUGGCGAACGGGUGAGUAACACGUGAGUAACCUGCCCUUGACUUUGGGAUAACUUCAGGAAACUGGGGCUAAUACCGGAUAGGAGCUCCUGCUGCAUGGUGGGGGUUGGAAAGUUUCGGCGGUUGGGGAUGGACUCGCGGCUUAUCAGCUUGUUGGUGGGGUAGUGGCUUACCAAGGCUUUGACGGGUAGCCGGCCUGAGAGGGUGACCGGCCACAUUGGGACUGAGAUACGGCCCAGACUCCUACGGGAGGCAGCAGUGGGGAAUAUUGCACAAUGGGCGGAAGCCUGAUGCAGCAACGCCGCGUGCGGGAUGACGGCCUUCGGGUUGUAAACCGCUUUCGCCUGUGACGAAGCGUGAGUGACGGUAAUGGGUAAAGAAGCACCGGCUAACUACGUGCCAGCAGCCGCGGUGAUACGUAGGGUGCGAGCGUUGUCCGGAUUUAUUGGGCGUAAAGGGCUCGUAGGUGGUUGAUCGCGUCGGAAGUGUACUCUUGGGGCUUAACCCUGAGCGUGCUUUCGAUACGGGUUGACUUGAGGAAGGUAGGGGAGAAUGGAAUUCCUGGUGGAGCGGUGGAAUGCGCAGAUAUCAGGAGGAACACCAGUGGCGAAGGCGGUUCUCUGGGCCUUUCCUGACGCUGAGGAGCGAAAGCGUGGGGAGCGAACAGGCUUAGAUACCCUGGUAGUCCACGCUGUAAACGGUGGGUACUAGGUGUGGGGUCCAUUCCACGGGUUCCGUGCCGUAGCUAACGCUUUAAGUACCCCGCCUGGGGAGUACGGCCGCAAGGCUAAAACUCAAAGGAAUUGACGGGGCCCCGCACAAGCGGCGGAGCAUGCGGAUUAAUUCGAUGCAACGCGUAGAACCUUACCUGGGUUUGACAUGGAUCGGGAGUGCUCAGAGAUGGGUGUGCCUCUUUUGGGGUCGGUUCACAGGUGGUGCAUGGCUGUCGUCAGCUCGUGUCGUGAGAUGUUGGGUUAAGUCCCGCAACGAGCGCAACCCUUGUUCACUGUUGCCAGCACGUUAUGGUGGGGACUCAGUGGAGACCGCCGGGGUCAACUCGGAGGAAGGUGGGGAUGACGUCAAGUCAUCAUGCCCCUUAUGUCCAGGGCUUCACGCAUGCUACAAUGGCUGGUACAGAGAGUGGCGAGCCUGUGAGGGUGAGCGAAUCUCGGAAAGCCGGUCUCAGUUCGGAUUGGGGUCUGCAACUCGACCUCAUGAAGUCGGAGUCGCUAGUAAUCGCAGAUCAGCAACGCUGCGGUGAAUACGUUCCCGGG
rnacentral:rRNA from 1 species